rnacentral:rRNA from 1 species
CACGGGGGGAGCAAACGUUGUUCGGAAUUACUGGGCGUAAAGGGCGCGUAGGCGGCCCUGCAAGUGGUGUGUGAAAUGCCCUGGCUCAACCAGGGAACUGCGCACCAAACUGCGGGGCUUGAGGUCAGUAGAGGAAGCUGGAAUUCCUGGUGUAGCGGUGAAAUGCGUAGAUAUCAGGAGGAACACCGUUGGCGAAGGCGAGCUUCUGGGCUGAACCUGACGCUGAGGCGCGAAAGCUGGGGGAGCAAACAGG